GGAAAAUCGCAUGAGAAUUGCAUGUUGCCAACAUACAUUUUUUUUUCAGACUAUGAUGACAUCAGAAAAAAUCUAUAUAUUAUACAAUAAGGUAGGCAAACUUGAUGGUUUAUGGUUUGCACCAGCUUGGCCUAUUAGUUCCUUGAGACUCCAAGGAAGUGCAACCUCGCAGUAAGGAAAAUGUUAGCAUGUUUUGUGAAUCUAUCCAGUUCAGAAAAUUCCAAUAAAGCCUCCCAAAUCUUCACUUCAAAUU
rnacentral:misc_RNA from 1 species